AUUGAACGCUGGCGGCAUGCCUUACACAUGCAAGUCGAACGGCAGCACGGACUUCGGUCUGGUGGCGAGUGGCGAACGGGUGAGUAAUAUAUCGGAACAUACCUUGUAGUGGGGGAUAACUAUCCGAAAGGAUAGCUAAUACCGCAUACGCUCUAAGGAGGAAAGCGGGGGAUCGUAAGACCUCGUGCUAUAAGAGUGGCCGAUAUCUGAUUAGCUAGUUGGUGAGGUAAAGGCUCACCAAGGCGACGAUCAGUAGCUGGUCUGAGAGGACGACCAGCCAGACUGGAACUGAGACACGGUCCAGACUCCUACGGGAGGCAUCAGUGGGGAAUUUUGGACAAUGGGGGCAACCCUGAUCCAGCAAUGCCGCGUGAGUGAAGAAGGCCUUCGGGUUGUAAAGCUCUUUUGUCAGGGAAGAAACGGUUGUGGCUAAUAUCCAUGGCUAAUGACGGUACCUGAAGAAUAAGCACCGGCUAACUACGUGCCAGCCGCCGCCGUAAGAC
rnacentral:rRNA from 1 species